rnacentral:tRNA from 1 species
AAGGGUAUAGCUCAAUUGGUAGAGCACAUGCUCAGCACACAAGAGGUCCCAGGUUCAAUCCCCGGUACCUCCU